rnacentral:rRNA from 1 species
CCUACGGGGGGCAGCAGUGGGGAAUAUUGCACAAUGGGGGGAACCCUGAUGCAGCGACGCCGCGUGGGUGAAGGAGGGUUUCGGCGCGUAAAGCCCUAUCGGCAGGGAAGAAGAUGACGGUACCUGACCAAGAAGCCCCGGCUAACUACGUGCCAGCAGCCGCGGUAACACGUAGGGGGCAAGCGUUAUCCGGAUUUACUGGGGGUAAAGGGGGCGCAGACGGCAAUGCAAGCCAGGAGUGAAAGCCCGGGGCCCAACCCCGGGACUGCUCUUGGAACUGCAUGGCUGGAGUGCAGGAGGGGCAGGCGGAAUUCCUGGUGUAGCGGUGAAAUGCGUAGAUAUUAGGAGGAACGCCGGUGGCGAAGGCGGCCUGCUGGACUUUGACUGACGUUGAGGCCCGAAGGCGUGGGGAGCAAACAGGAUUAGAUACCCCGGUAGUC